rnacentral:rRNA from 1 species
UUAGGAAUUUUGCGCAAUGGCCGAAAGGCUGACGCAGCAACGCCGCGUGAGGGAUGAAGGCCUUCGGGUUGUAAACCUCUUUUGUCAGGGAAAAAUAAAUUGAUGGUACCUGAAGAAAAAGCACCGGCGAACUCUGUGCCAGCAGCCGCGGUAAUACAGAGGGUGCAAGCGUUAUUCGGAUUUACUGGGCGUAAAGGGCGUGUAGGCGGUUUGGUAAGUUCAAUGUGAAAGCCCCGGUCUCAAAUCGGGAAGUGCAUUGGAUACUGCUAGACUAGAGUGCAGGAGAGGAGAUCGGAAUUCCAGGUGUAGAGGUGAAAUUCGUAGAUAUCUGGAGGAACAACAGUGGCGAAGGCGGAUCUCUGGACUGUAACUGACGCUGAGGCGCGAAAGCGUGGGGAGC